AAUUUCUGUCAGGGCGAACAAUUAGGAAUUAAAAUGGAGACAUCUUCAUCAGAAACUCCGGAAGUUUCUGUGCCAAACGCUGACUUGGCAGACUCGGCUUCUUCUGUCCUGCAAAGAUGGGUUACUCUGCUACUACAACCCCAAUUUCAAGAGAGAGUACCCAUAGCUGCAAAGACAGCACAAGCGAAGCGCUGGCGUUUGAAGGAGAGCACCAGCUGCAUUCCCACUGGAGCUGGAUUUGGAGGAGGGCCCCCUGAGCAGCCCUUCAAAGAGACAGCGAGGCCCUGUAGCACCAGUGCACCAUGAGCCCACCGGUAGCAACCAGGAUGCUGCUCCUGCUGCAUCUGCUGCUCCUCCAUCUCCUGAACCAAACGGUCCUUCUCCACCAAGGCUGGCACCAGACAGCGGAGCUGGAGGCGACGGAGUUGGACGUCAGCACAGUUUAUGCGAUAGGAAAUAGAGAUCUCAGGUACCAAGUGAAUAGAUUGUAG
rnacentral:lncRNA from 1 species